rfam:Deltaproteobacteria bacterium CG2_30_66_27 cg2_3.0_scaffold_1407_c, whole genome shotgun sequence.
GAAAGCCGUGUGCGGGAAACUCGCACGCACGGUUUGAAAGGGGGAUCUGGAAACGGGGUGGCGUAACCGCCGC